rnacentral:rRNA from 1 species
UAGGGAAUCUUCGGCAAUGGACGAAAGUCUGACCGAGCAACGCCGCGUGAGUGAAGAAGGUUUUCGGAUCGUAAAACUCUGUUGUUAGAGAAGAACAAGGACGUUAGUAACUGAACGUCCCCUGACGGUAUCUAACCAGAAAGCCACGGCUAACUACGUGCCAGCAGCCGCGGUAAUACGUAGGUGGCAAGCGUUGUCCGGAUUUAUUGGGCGUGAAGCGAGCGCAGGCGGUUUCUUAAGUCUGAUGUGAAAGCCCCCGGCUCAACCGGGGAGGGUCAUUGGAAACUGGGAGACUUGAGUGCAGAAGAGGAGAGUGGAAUUCCAUGUGUAGCGGUGAAAUGCGUAGAUAUAUGGAGGAACACCAGUGGCGAAGGCGGCUCUCUGGUCUGUAACUGACGCUGAGGCUCGAAAGCGUGGGGAGCAAACAGG